CAUGAUGUCAUAGUACAAUAUAAACUGUAAAGUUUGAUCAAACACAUCUAGAAAAUUGGCAGUGUUUUGUGUGAUUUCUUUGAAGUUGGUAGCAACUCUUCCAUGUUGAUUUUGGUAUAGUAAUUGAAUGCAACUUCCAAUUUAAGUGCACAGACUAUGAAUGUAGUCUGUGAUAAGUUUAGUAAGAGAAGAACUUUAUUGGAUCACCUUGCAACCUCUUACUUUCAUUUGAAAGUAAUUCAACACUCAUGCAACCACCAUUUAGACAUCUUAAAAACAUAUUUUAGGAUAUGCAAACUAUGGCACUAAGUUAAUGUCUCCAUACUUCGCAUGUUUGUCUCAUGUGAAAAAGAAUGAAAAUGGAAUGUGAUGCUUAGUUAGCAUAAUGAGGUCAGAAGAUCGCCCAACAUCUAUGGAAAAAUGACUUAGCUGAUGCUACAUUUAGCAGGUUGGCUUUAUUGGAGAACUGUUAAAUAUUUGAUAUUCAUAGUGUUCGCAAGGCUUUUAAGAAAAUAGUUUUCAUUGCACUAGCGACAAUUCGGAAUGGCAAGGUGCGAAUGAUUCGGAUUAAAAGUCAGCGUGGAAAUGCAAUAGAUUCGCAGCUGGCAACAAAUUAGAGGACGAUUGGUGAUGAGACAAUUUAUUAUAAUCGCUGUAACGAAGUACGUACUACCCGAUUUAAACAGUUCAACGCGGAAUCAACUUACCAUCCAGCAACGCAUCCAUCAACAGAAUGUAUUAAAGAGGAAAGUAAUUGACCAAAUGCCGACUCGACGAUUCCCAUGCAAGAUAAAUGUUAUAAAUCCAAGGAGAUUUGGUGAGCGGAAUGCAACGGGCUAUGUCAUAUCAAACCAUUAGCUGAAUACAAUGAAUACCAUCACUUCACCAGAACGAGAGGUUAAUAAUCAUACUGGAUCAAAAGAGGCAUCAAGUUAAACGAGAUUUUAAAAUGAUAACAGUUGGAAGCGCAUGUAGAAAUUUCGAAGAACGCUACCUAAACGUUAUCUUUAGUCACAGAUUCAUCUCGAAGAUAAAAUAAGUUAUUUUUAUAAAUUUAAGUGCAUAUCUGGGCUCCCUUCUUUUAUGUGGCCCCGUUUCCCCUUGACUUAUGAUAAGCCCGUAGGGGGUCAUGCCCCUACUGUGAUCAGCAGCAAAGGUUGUG
rnacentral:lncRNA from 1 species